rnacentral:rRNA from 1 species
GAUGAACGCUGGCGGCGUGCCUAAUACAUGCAAGUAGAACGCUGAAGCUUGGUGCUUGCACCGAGCGGAUGAGUUGCGAACGGGUGAGUAACGCGUAGGUAACCUGCCUCUUAGCGGGGGAUAACUAUUGGAAACGAUAGCUAAUACCGCAUAAAAGUCGACAUUGCAUGAUGUUGACUUGAAAGGUGCAAUUGCAUCACUAAGAGAUGGACCUGCGUUGUAUUAGCUAGUUGGUGAGGUAACGGCUCACCAAGGCGACGAUACAUAGCCGACCUGAGAGGGUGAUCGGCCACACUGGGACUGAGACACGGCCCAGACUCCUACGGGAGGCAGCAGUAGGGAAUCUUCGGCAAUGGGGGCAACCCUGACCGAGCAACGCCGCGUGAGUGAAGAAGGUUUUCGGAUCGUAAAGCUCUGUUGUAAGAGAAGAACGAGUGUGAGAGUGGAAAGUUCACACUUGUGAGC